AAACAUAACAUGCUCAGUAAUAUUCAAGGAGAGAUUGAGACUGGGAAAGUUCUCAUGACUCUUAUCUAAAUUAUUGACGAAGUGUCUUGAAGAUCAUUUCUUUAGUACCUCUUCCUUUGUGUAUUCUCCUUUAUUGCUCUUUAUAUGGGCAUGUAUCCUCUGUGAUAAAGUAUUUUACUUGCAUUCUACUGAGUCGCAUUUUGUGUGUGAAUACAAUUUGUGUGGCCCGUGAUCUUGAAUAUGAGCUCCUCUUUGAUGGAUCUUGUGGGUGCCUAGCCUAAUCGCUCUGACCUGCACAGGGAGCACAGGGAACGCACGACUAAGACUUGACCGGGGGUGUUCCCGGCAAGGUCCUCCGGCGAGAGGAUGAGAAUGUGAAGAGAGCAAAGAAAGAGUCUAGGGUUUUAGGUCUAAGUUUGGGCUGCAUCACUUGGUAUUUAUAGAGUUUGCUUGGCUUGCUCUCCAAGUACAGGCACAUACCUUGCACGGGUCGGUUGGAGUCAUCGUGACGUUAGAGAUAAGGUUGGAUAACCGUUUCUGGGGUGAGUUGGCACCCCCAUGUGCUUUAAUCAUUAUCUCUUGGCGUAACCGUUCCCCUGGUUUUGGGAAAUGUGGCAUUGAGAGUGGCCGAGCCAGGAAGCGGACGGCUCGGGGAGACAGAGGGACGUGAUGAAGUCAUCUGUCUGUGCUUUGACUUUGGCCGAGCCGUUGAGCGGUAAGGUGAGAUCCUUAUCCGAGCUUCGGGCUUUGCCGAGCUUGGGCUUUGGCGACGUUAGGUUCGACCGUGGCUUAGCUCCGACCCGUCUCCAUUGAGCAUGUGGGAGCCAAUUUGUUCGGCCUACUACAAUAGCCUUUAUACUUCUGCCAAUGCCCUUGUAUGGCAAGGAUUGAUCCUGAGCUGGGCCAAUAACUUGGAGCAUAGGGAUGGUUUUCCCGAGUCGUCUUAUCGACAACUUUUUCAAAAGCUGCAACCGCCGGAGUUGAGCCCCAAUGGAUGGGUGCCAGGUGUCGAUCAUCGCGUCGGGGUGGCAGAUGAAGGGACGUUUGGCAUGUGAGAGGCUCUGAGCGGUUGUCCUAUCGUGGCCACGUGUCAUAUGUUGAGUGGCUCAUGGCUCAGCGGGAUAAUGAUGAGGCGGGAAAUUUGAACCGUUUCCCUUCCUCCAUAUAAAGUGGGACGAGAGGAGAGAGACGGUUACUCUUCGUGUUUCUCUUUCUAGAACCAGAGCUUCUCUCUUUAACUUCUCGCAUCCAGGCUUCAAUCCAGAUCCAGAUCUCUUAAUUCAAAGCUCAAGUUCCACAGAAAUCUACCGGUAUGAGAUCGUUUCAUUAUGUUUCUACCAUCUUAUUCAGCUUUGGCAUCAUUUUUUUUAUCGAUUCUUUGCAUUUUUUGGAAGUUUUGUUCUGAGUGAAUAGUGGAAUACUGGGGUGAACAGUGAUGUUCAUCCCCAUCUUCAAACUGUUCUUUCGAGCCCCAGUAGUGGCACUGGUUGGCUUUGGCCGAGUGUGUCCAUCUUUUGAUGUAUUCACCGAGCAAAAGAGUUUAGACCCUAGGUUAGCUAGAUGCCGAACCCUUGCAACCGUCUCGACCGUGGUGAGCCAAAUAGGAUAGGUCGAACCUUGUGAGUCUUUUGACUUUCUUUCCGACGCCGAAUUUUCAUUCUUUGCUUUCCUUUGAUUUUGUUAGGUUUGGCCCACCCGGUCAUCUUCAUCUCCUCUGAUUCCAAAAGCUCGGGAAGCGACUCUGCGGACUCGUUGGUCAGGAGGCUAAUUGACAGACAUAGGAACCGAAGCCGAGGCUCUUCCUCCGUUUCUUUGAACAUGUCUGCUUCCUCAAACAUGUCCGACAAUUUGAACGCCGAAUGAGAGUUCAACACCACACCGGAGAUCACUCUAGCCCCUUCCACUGUGUUGGAGGCCGACCUUCAGAGGGGGUAUGAGGCCGAGUCUAGGUUCAACACCGGUGCGGAGGCUUCAACUUCUACGCUGAAGGACGCAGAUCUGUUUGACCAGGGCCGACUGUGCCCCCACGCCCAUUUCUUUAGUGGCGACCCAAAGGAGUACCAAAACUUCUGUCGAGAGUAUGACAUUCGUGCCGACGUGAUGCUCAAUCAAGUUAGGAGUGAUUAGAUUAAGGAUAAGGCUCAGGACCGUCCUGAGCAUAUUAUUGUGCCUCUCAUGGCCAUUUGUGAAGCCGGCCUACGGUUCCCUCUUCACCCUUCCUUAGGGAGGUCCUGUCAAGAUUUAGCCUUGCCCAACACCAGCUGGCCAUAAACAACUAUAGGAUCAUCAUGUCUAUCAUUGCCCUUAAGGAAAGCCAGGGGUUUGAGUUCACAGUCGCCGACCUGUUCCAUACCUACACCAUGUCCUGACACGGCCGAAGCGGGCGUCGGUACUUGACAAGCCGCCCAAAGAUGGAGCCCUUGAUCACUGGCCUUCCGGAUAUUGACAAAUGGGCCGAUUUCUAUCUGGAAGUCCAUGGACACUACGAGUUCGGCGAUGCGCCGAGGCGUCACUCUGUAUCGAAAGUUAGCGACAUGAGAGGUCUUGCAAUUUUGCCUUCAUGUGUCUUGUUUUUGGAUUUUGAUUCUAGUCUCCUGUCUAUCUGACAUUAUUUGUUCUUUGCAGCGCUCGGUCCUAGUUCCAAGGGUUUGCACACCAACUCCGUCGCCGAGCACUGUGAGACCCUGAAGGCUCAGGCUUACUGAAACGCUCCCACCCUUCUUGAGUACGUUCUGUCAUACAAAGGGGUGCUUAGGAAGAAAACCAAAAAGAAGGAAGGGGAGCCAAUCUUGAAAAAGAAAGCGGGGCCUUCAGAAACUCAAGGGGCCGGGAGAGGACAAAAGUUGCCAAGAGUUAGGUUGCCGACUUUUAGGAAGUCGGCAGAUUACUGGUUCGGCUUGGAGAAUGAGGUCUAGGAACCAAUAUUGCCAGGACUCAACAUGCCGCUCCGAACUGUCGUUCCAAUCUUUGAUGACGAUAUGUCAAGAAGAAACGUUCCUCGGCCAGUCAUACCAAUUCGCACUCUCGCCCUGGCUCGCUCCAGAGUUCCUCCGGACACUUAGAGGGAGAAAAGGCAGAAGACUUCUCAUGAUACUGUACUGCAAAGUAGCUCCGGACCUGCGCAAACUGAGGGCAGCAAUGCUCUUACGCCGAAUGUCACUGUUCCUAAGCUUCAUUUGGAGACAACAGAGCCCCCGGUGGAGGCAGUCGCUCGGCGGGAGUUCAGCCCGUCCUACGCUAGACUUGAUGGGAGGAGUUGAUGAUUCUGUUUAGGCCGAGCCUGGACUUGCUGUCACCCUUUUGAGAGGUUUGGCCCUGCCGAAGGAUGUGGAGCAGGUGCCAUCGGAGCUCAUGCUGAAUUUCGUGGAGAUGUGCUCUCACCUGGUGGUGCAAGUCGAACAAGCUGCUCUCAAGGCCUCCGACAAGGUGACGAAGGUGGGCGCCGAGCAUGAGCGUUACAAGAGCGAUCGAGACACGAUGCGUUAGAAGGUCAAGGCAUUGGAACAGCAGGCGAGGGUUGCAGGUGCUGAAAA